rnacentral:lncRNA from 1 species
AUGCCAUGGACUCUGCUCUGCUUGUUCUCUGCCUCUCAGCUCCCUCUCUGUGCCCUCUGUGUGUGUGUUAGCUCUGAAUUCUCUCCUUCACCCAUCUUUGCUCCCUGUGACUGCCUCUCUGCUGCCUCAUUCCCCCUUCUCUGCUCCUCUUUGCUCUCCUGUCCCUGCUCCCUCUGCCCUCUCUCUGUGCUUCUUUGCCAUCCCUCUCCUGUCCCUGCUCUCUGCUCCCUCGCAGUGUCACUCUCAGCUGGCUCCAGUGUCUCUGCCUCUUUGCCCUCUCUCUCCCAUAUUUGCCCUCUGUGCCCUCUGCACCUCCCUCAUUGCUCUCCAGGUCUCCCAUCUCCCUCUCCGGUCUCUCUUUGCCCCUGGCCGUGUCUCCCACCCUUAUCUCAGCAUGAAUUCCUGAACUGCAGGAUGGCAGCAGCGUGGCCGUGCUGCACCCCAGGGAGCUGCCUGGGGGCUCUGGGGGUGCUGUGGCUGUGGGGGGACACCCUGAGGAUGGAGAGGAUCCCCAAGGCACCGGAGGAUGGUGCUGGCUGGCCUUUGGUGGCUGAGCAGGGUUUGGCAGAUUGUCCAAAGAGCGAUGGUGAGAGGAGAGCCUGAGUGUGGGGAUCACACUGACUGCAGCACUGACCACAGCCCUGACCACAGAACUGACCACAGCACUCGCUGGAAAGGAUGAAAGUUUGGCAAGAAAGUCUCACAGAUUUGUGUGCUUGGCAGAAAGAUUUUUGAAUGUACAAUCUGCUUCCAUCUCUACUCCUUCAAAUUUUGAUAUAGAAGAAAAGAAUCGCUGAGCCAAUCUCACUGGUUAACCAAGGAGGCAAAGGGUGUGUUAGUUAGAGGGGGUUUUUAUGGCUUGGAGAAAAGGAUAAACCCACCCCAAACAAGAUGAUUUUACCAAGCAGAAAGAGAGCACAGGCAAACAAGGCAGUAAAGUUGCAAAUCAAAAAAAGGUCUCAGAAUUUUCCACUGCAAGAAAACUGAAAAACAAUUUCUAGCUUCAACUGUAAUGUACUGACUUUUAUUCCAAGUGCAUUUGUUUUUCUUUUGCAGACUCCUGGCUGAUUUAGCCCAAAUUUAUUAAAGAUUGGUUACCUACCUCUGUGUUAAUGAUGAUUAAAACCAAACCCUGGUUGAGUUGUGCUGUUCAUGGUGGUACCCCAAUAAAUUUGGUUUAAAGUUUCA